GGGGAUAUAGCUCAGUUGGUAGAGCGCUGCUUUUGCACGGCAGAAGUCAGCGGUUCGAGUCCGCUUAUCUCCA
rnacentral:tRNA from 1 species